rnacentral:RNase_P_RNA from 1 species
GAGGAAAGUCCGGGCAACACAGGGCAGCGUACUUCCUAACGGGAAGGCCCCGAUUAGUCGGGGACAGAAAGUACCACAGAAAACAAACUACCAUGCCCCGACGAGUCGGGGUAGGAAAAGGUGAAAAGGUGAGGUAAGAGCUCACCGGCCUGGUGGUGACAUCAGGCGCUGGCAAACCUUACGCGUUGAAAAGUCAAAUAGGCCCCGAUCAUGAAUGGCUCGUUCAACUUCCACCCGACUUGUCGGGACGGAAUAUCGGGGUGGGUAGACCGAUUGAUCUCAUCAGCAAUGAUGUGACCAGAUAAAUGAUAAAGGCCCCGACUUGUCGGGGUACAGAACCCGGCUUA